ACUUCUCGCAUCUUUUUUUUUUUUUUACAAGAAAAAAGAUAAAAAGUGGAGUUGAAAACCAGUACUACAGACCGAAAAGUAGAAGUCAGGAUCAUGCAUUAUUAGAUUUGAAUAUGAAGGUUACAAGAGGAAAAUCAACAUCAACAGAUGGCGCUUUAGCAAGGGAUUUUUCAGAACAUAGAAAUUUUUGCUUGAAGGGUUUAAACAUUGCAGCCUCAUUUUCAGUUUGAUGAUGUGUUAAUUUUUUUUUAUUAUUUUUGUACAUUAGGAAUCUAUUACAAAUGUUAGAACUUCUUCGACAUGAUUAUUAUUCAGCAGACUUUCAUCACAUCUGGAAAAUAAAAUAUAGCUAGGAUCAAGUAUAUUUUCCUAGAUGAGCAAC